rnacentral:rRNA from 1 species
GAUGAACGCUGGCGGCGUGCUUAACACAUGCAAGUCGAACGAAGCGCUUUAAUCGAUUUCUUCGGAUUGAAAUUUUAGUGACUGAGUGGCGGACGGGUGAGUAACGCGUGGGUAACCUGCCUCACACAGGGGGGAUAACAGUUGGAAACGGCUGCUAAUACCGCAUAAGCGCACAGUACCGCAUGGUACGGUGUGAAAAAACUCCGGUGGUGUGAGAUGGACCCGNGUCUGAUUAGCUAGUUGGCAGGGCAACGGCCUACCAAAGCGACGAUCAGUAGCCGGACUGAGAGGUUGACCGGCCACAUUGGGACUGAGACACGGCCCAAAACUCCUACGGAGCAGCAGUGGGGAAUAUUGCACAAUGGGGGAAACCCUGAUGCAGCGACGCCGCGUGAGCGAAGAAGUAUUUCGGUAUGUAAAGCUCUAUCAGCAGGG